AAGAGUUGGGCCUGCUCGGUGAUUUAACAGCUGCGGUUAAUAUCUGUACUAAGGUAGCAUAAUAAUUUGUCUUAUAAAUUGAGACUAGAAUGAAUGGUUUGACGAAAAUUAUACUGUCUCUAUUAUAUUUUUUUGAAAUUAAUUUUUAAAGUGAAAAAGCUUAAAUUUUUUAAAGGGACGAGAAGACCCUAUUGAGCUUUUUUGGUUGGGGUGAUCAAGGAAAUAAUAACUUCCUUAAAUAAACAAUUUCUUUUAUGAUAAGUUACCAUAGGGAUAACAGCGUAAUUUCUUUUGAGAGUUCUUAUUAAAAAAGAAGAUUGCGACCUCGAUGUUGGAUUAAAAUUAACCUUAAGGUGGAGAAGCUUUAUUUGGUAAAUCUGUUCGAUUUUUAAAAUUUU
rnacentral:rRNA from 1 species